GGUGGGAGGAGUCCUGGACGGACAUAAAACGCAGACGGACCGGUUUCCUCUUCCACUUCCCUCUCUCAUCUGGUCGAGAUGGAGAGAGAUCCAGGACCGGUUUGCUGCAAAGGUACUGGAAGAAUAUGGCAAAUCUGUCCACAGAAGGUUUGUCUGCAGUGUCCUUUCACUCAGCAACUCAAACCAGCUGGAAAGUGCACUGAUGAGUUUGACUAGAAGUUUGAGGAAGGAUGUUCCCUCUACACCUCAACAUGGCCCUUUUUGAUUGGAAGAUGGAUUUGAAGCUCAAGGCACCCACUGAAGUCUCAUGAUGAUUCAACAAUGACUUCAGCAACAUGACUGAGUGCUCUAGUUGAAGGUGGCUGGCUUUGAACGAUGCUGUCCUCUUCUACCCAAGGUGUCUGGCCAGGUUGACAUAAAGGCAGAUCUGAGAACAAGGAGGUCAUUAGGGUUGGUGGCGUUUGUCCCAGAGUUCAGGUUUGGAGAUGCUGUCCAACGCGGUUGUGUCUGAACGUCAGCACUGAGACGCCUGGGACUGUGUUUGAGCUUAGGCACCGUGCAGCACUCAAGAUCAGCCUAUGUUGGCCACUGAACUGUCGAGUGUUCCCUGCUGUUUUGGAGUGUAUGAGUCUGGACAGAACUUGGACUCCUCCAUGAAGAUCCAUCAGACAUGGAAUUUGCCAAGAGGAUUGCUGCAGUUUCACUUGAGCUCAAAGGAUGACUGAAAAUGCUCUUGAAUUUUGUUUGAGAGCUGUUGAAAUAUCAAAUAAAACAUACAAACUUCA